rnacentral:rRNA from 1 species
CCCUUAGAUGUUCUGGGCUGCACGUGCGCUACACUGAUGCAUUCAACGAGCUUUCGAUCUUGCCCGAGAGGGUUGGAUAAUCUUUUUAAAGUGCAUCGUGAUGGGGAUAGAUUAUUGCAAUUAUUAAUCUUCAACGAGGAAUUCCUAGUAAGCGCGAGUCAUCAGCUCGUGCUGAUUACGUCCCUGCCCUUUGUACACACCGCCCGUCGCUCCUACCGAUUGGGUGUGCUGGUGAAAUGUUCGGAUCGGCCGUUUGUCGCGGUUUCCGCGUCAUGUGGCUGAGAAGUUCAUUAAACCCUCCCACCUAGAGGAAGGAGAAGUCGUAACA